ACAAUGAUUUAGGAAUCGUGUUGACUGUUAGCCGGCCGUAUAAACAGACGAUAAUUGCUUUUUUUUUUUUUUUUUUUUUUUAGACAAUCGGCUGUCAGGGUUAAAAGGUCGUCGUCUAGAGGACAGCAAUUUGGAAAAAAUCAGCUGGAAAAACUAUUAGGAAGUGGAAGACAUCAAUUUUAAAGUAUCUUCUCAGAAAACCUCAGGAGGAAGAUUGAGGUCAUCUGGGCGUAACAGCAAAGGUCGUUUUGUGUUUACAGCGUUCUGUAUUUCAUGCUUUAUAACUACUGAUUUCCUUUGCAUGGCAAUCUUGCCUUCCUUGUAGGAAAUGACCUCCAAGACGCUUCCAUUACCGACUCUAUGUCCAUUUUCACAAACAAGCACGCGGAGGAACUAUCAGCACAUUGUUUGAAAACAAAACAAAAAAGCCUGGGCUCAUGAUUGUUUGCAGUUCGUAAUUAUGGCUCAGAGGUUUGUACAAGCGAUACAGUAUCUUCAGUCUCUGCAGAUUGGUUGGCAGGUCCAAUAGCCCUGGCUAUCAAGGGACAACGAGCCUCGCAGUCUGUGUGUGCGAAACUCACGCCAAACAACAAACACGCAAGAACCAGCAAGCAGGGGACACAGGAAGCAGCAAGACAUCUAAAAGUGUCCUCAGCCUGCCACUGGCCCAUCCUGAAUGUGACUCCCAGGCCCCAGAGGGAAGACACACAAACUGCUGUUAUUUGUUUAAUAAUAUACUACAAUAAUGUGCAUGAGACAUGUACUGUACGUGUAUAUGGAAAAUCCUUUGAAAAAAUAAAUUUGAAUAAAAGACCUUACACUGUACACACAUCACUGUAUAAAAACUACAGUAAAGCUGACAUCUGACGUGUGUAUUUUUGACAAGGGGAUAAUUAAAAUGUUAAAACACACAGAAAAUGCUUAAAUGUUUAAACAAUAAACUUAACCUACUGGGUUUAAAAAAGGGGAGCUCCCGAACGGAGUCGAGGCUUCAAAUGGGAAAUUUCGUAAAAUAUU